GACGUAGGGGGCGAGCGUUGUUCGGAAUCACUGGGCGUAAAGCGCACGUAGGCGGCUACGUCAGUCGGGUGUGAAAGCCCUCGGCUCAACCAAGGAACUGCGUCCGAUACUGCGUGGCUUGAGGUCCAAAGGGGAGAGUGGAAUUCCCGGUGGAGCGGUGAAAUGCGUAGAGAUCGGGAAGAACGCCGGCGGCGAAAGCGACUCUCUGGUCGGAUCCUGACGCUGAGGUGCGAAAGCUAGGGGAGCAAACGGG
rnacentral:rRNA from 1 species